AUAUUCAUUAGAAUAUCUUGAUCUAAGCAAUAAUAAAUUGUCAGGGAAGAUUCCACAGUCCAUGGGUACUCUUGUUUAUUUGCAAGCUUUGGUUUUACGAAACAAUAGUUUAAUUGGAGAACUACCAUUCAUGUUGAAGAAUUGCACUCAUUUAGAUAUAUUAGACGUGAUUCAAAAUCUGUUGUUUGGCCAAAUACCCUCAUGGAUAGGAGAAAGUCUACAACAACUGAAAAUCUAAGCUUGAGAGUAAAUCACUUUUUUGGAAGUGUUCCUAUACAUAUCAGUUAUUUGAGGAAAAUUCAUCUCUUGGAUCUUUCAAGAAAUAAUUUGUCAGGAAGAAUUCCAACCUGUUUCAGCAAUUUUACUGCAAUGACGGAAAGGGGAGUAAGCACAAGUGAAAUUGAAAGGGGACGAAAAAUAUCAGUUAAAGAGAUUAACUUCUAUAGUUAUGUCUCUGAUGUGCUACUGAUGUGGAAAGGUCAGGAUUAUGAAUUUUGGAAUCCUGAGUAUAUUCUAAAGAGCAUUGAUCUCUCAAGUAAUGAUUUAUUAGCUGAAAUACCAAAAGAGGUUGGGUAUUUAUUUGGAUUAGUUUCUUUGAAUUUAGCAAGAAACCACUUAAAUGGAGAAAUUCCUUCUGAGAUUGGAAAUCCAACUUGACUAGACAUUCUUGACUUAUCAAGAAAUCAUUUAUCUGGCAAAAUUCCUUCUACUCUUUCCAAAAUUGAUGGUCUUGGCAAGUUAAACUAAUCAAACAAUGAUCUCAGUGGAAGAAUUCCAUGGGAAGGACAUUUGCAAACCUUUGAUGCCUCUAGUUUUGAAGGAAAUCCUGGUCUUUGUGGUCAACAAAUUAACAAAAGUUGUCCAAGAGAUGAGACAAUAGCAAAGCCUCAAUGACCAGCACUUGAUGACAAUUCAGUUUUCCAUGGAGCAUUAUAUAUGAGCUUGGGGAUUGGAUUCAUCACAGGCUUUUGGGGCUUAUUAGGGCCAAUACUACUUUGGCAACCAUGGAGAAUUGCUUACCUGAAAUUCUUGAACAGAUUGACAGACUAUAUACUUCUAACGGUUGAACUGAAUGUAGCCAAGUGCGAUAGGUGGCUCAAAGGCUAGGAGUUUAUGGCAGUUUUGCUUCAGAGUUCUGAUGAGGGAUAAAAGCAUAUCAUGGAUUGCAUGAAGCGUAACAUAUAAAGUAUUGAAGUUUACAAUGUAACAUAUGUCAAAAGAAUGAUAUUCUGAAAUAAUGACUUGGUAAAUCACUGUUUCAAGAAACUUAUUGAUUUGAUAGUUUUUUAUUGUAUAAUGUAUAAUGACUUGGAAAAUCACUGUUUCAAGAAACUUAUUAAUUUGAUAGUCUUUCAUUGUAUAAUGUAUUUGUAAUUUUAUUGCA